AUACGUAGGUGACAAGCGUUAUCCGGAUUUACUGGGCGUAAAGGGCGUGUAGGCGGUCUUGCAAGUCAGAAGUGAAAUUCCUGAGCUCAACUCGGGCGCUGCUUCUGAAACUGCAGGACUUGAGUGCUGGAGGGGAUAGCGGAAUUCCUAGUGGAGCGGUAAAAUGCGCAGAUAUUAGGAAGAACACCGGUGGCGAAGGCGGCUAUCUGGACAGUAACUGACGCUGAGGCGCGAAAGUGUGGGGAGCAAACAGGAUUAGAUACCCUGGUAGUCCACACUGUAAACGAUGAAUGCUAGGUGUAAGAGGUAUCGACCCCUUUUGUGCCGGAGUCAACACAAUAAGCAUUCCGCCUGGGGAGUACGGCCGCAAGGUUGAAACUCAAAUGAAUUGGCGGGG
rnacentral:rRNA from 1 species